rnacentral:rRNA from 1 species
GACGAACGCUGGCGGCGUGCUUAACACAUGCAAGUCGAACGGAAAGGCCCUGCUUUUGUGCGGUGCUCGAGUGGCGAACGGGUGAGUAAAACGUGAGUAACCUGCCCUUGUCUUUGGGAUAACUCCACGGAACUGGGGCUAUAACCCCGUAUAAGCUCCUGCUGCAUGGGGUGCGUUGGAGAGAUUCGGCGGUGUGGGCUGGACGCGCGGCUUAUCAGCUUGUUGGUCGGGUAGUGGUUUACCAAGGCUUUGACGGGUAGCCGACAUGAGAGGGUGACCGGCGACAUUGGGACUGCGAUAGGGACCAGAAUGCAAUGGGAGGCAGCAGUGGGGAGUAUUGCACAAUGGGCCGAAGCCAGAUGUAGAGACGCUGCGUGCGGAAUACCGGGUUACGGGUUGUAAACAGAUUUGGAAUGUGACGUACACUGAGUGACGGUAACGGGUCAAGAAGCCCCGGCUAACUACGUG